GACGAACGCUGGCGGCGUGCCUAAUACAUGCAAGUUGAGCGCUGAAGGUUGGUACUUGUACCAACUGGAUGAGCAGCGAACGGGUGAGUAACGCGUGGGGAAUCUGCCUUUGAGCGGGGGACAACAUUUGGAAACGAAUGCUAAUACCGCAUAAAAACUUUAAACACAAGUUUUAAGUUUGAAAGAUGCAAUUGCAUCACUCAAAGAUGAUCCCGCGUUGUAUUAGCUAGUUGGUGAGGUAAAGGCUCGCCAAGGCGAUGAUACAUAGCCGACCUGAGAGGGUGAUCGGCCACAUUGGGACUGAGACACGGCCCAAACUCCUACGGGAGGCAGCAGUAGGGAAUCUUCGGCAAUGGACGAAAGUCUGACCGAGCAACGCCGCGUGAGUGAAGAAGGUUUCCGGAUCGUAAAACUCUGUUGGUAGAGAAGAACGUUGGUGAGAGUGGAAAGCUCAUCAAGUGACGGUAACUACCCAGAAAGGGACGGCUAACUACGUG
rnacentral:rRNA from 1 species